GCAGGAUCAUGACAAUACCAGGUGAAAAGAUGAGAAAAGAUCAAUGGAUUUCGGCAAUUAAACGUGAUGGAUGGUGCCCAACCAAAUACAUGACUGUGUAGUGAUCACUUCAUUUCAGAUUGGGCAGGAGAUGAAUCCCUGGCCAGAUGGCGGCUGAAACCUGAUGCCUACAAUGCAGUGGCAUUCAAAUGAAUCACCACAAGGCAAUUAAUUCAUUGCGUUACAAAGAAUCACUGUAUCCUGAUAUUUAAAUGAAGUUGCGUUUUAAUGAGAAACAUCUGCAAUGGAAUCAAUGGAGAGGUACAAUUUGCGUCUCCCAAGGAUUGAAGAUGUGUGCCAGCGCCGAUAAACUGAUGGAUGUGCUGGCUUCUCACCAAAGUAGUCAGGUUCCUGUUUUCCAUCACGUUUGCAGCAAAGCGAGUGGAGGUGCAUCGCGGAUGUGAGAAUGACAGAUGAAAAUACUUGCCCAAGUACUGACACAAGCCAGACAAAUGGCGUUUUCACAAGUGGCCUAGUGGGGCAGGCCUGAAGCUCACAUCCAGAACUCACCAUCAAUGCAUUUUCCCGGCUGCGGUUUCCCACAUGGGAAUAUUGUACGUCUUAUUCUAAGAUGUCAGUAGAACACGACACAAAUUUGCACGUUCGAUCCACAGUUUCACACCUUUGCUAAGUGAAUAGUAACCGUGUUGUUUAUCAUAAAAGAAUUGCUGCUUGAUGGUCUCUCUGGAAACAUCAAUCAUUCUGUAAGACGGCAGUUUGCAUAAGAAAGUCAGUUUUUUGCAAGGGGGAAAAGACUGCAUUAUGUACACACUGCGGUAUCUGAAUGGGAUGCAGAAAAGAGCCCUGAGCUAUUCCCCUCAGAUAAAAGUAUCAUGUUACAACAUGAUGCUGCAGAGGCACAAAUCGAUACGCUGCAGCUACUCACGGAAGACACAUUUGCUCAGAGAUGAAAAAGAAGAGGCGUUUAAUGGCGUAGGGAUGCGGAUUUGACUGCAUUUCUUCAAUCACUUAUUUUAUCACAAUUUAUCGAUACUGUCCAUGUUUUCACUGUGAUAGGAGAAUCACUCUUUGAAUGUUUUGAACUUCUUUUUACAUGGCAGUGUCAUAUUGACACGAUAAUGCCGGGCAGAGGCGCAACAUGUUUUACUUUUUAACAGAAAACAAGCUCACUAUUGCACUCCAUCCAGCUUCAAUUGCUUGAAUACACGAUUAAUCAUCAAUUAAUUCCACGGGCUCAAUACUCUCAACAAUCCGCCUUCCCUCCACUCCUGGCAUAUAACGUUAAUGACGCCAUGCGGGUAUGCUUGCCUCACCCUCUCUCUUAAGUGUACUUCAUCCUUGAACAAGACCCAAAUAAAGUCCGUGAAUUAGUGCACUCACAUUUUAUAGUCCAGUUCAAGUCAUCAAUCGCUCAAAAAUAUUUGCAUGCUCCCCACCAUGUUUGACAUCAUGCUUUGGCUUGUGACCUGUUCUUUUCGAUCAACAUACUUUCAUCUUCCAUCUGUCCAAAGAACGUUUCUGUUCCAGAACAUUGGAGGCAUUUUACAAGUCCACCGUCUUGGCUAUUAAUAAUGUCAUAACUGUAAACCGUCUUACAUUCACAAAGACAUUUCUUAAUUAUAUAUUUUGUAUAAAAGAAAUUGUAUUCUUAACUUUUGCUGAUUUAUUUUUUCUGACACGACCCACUUGACGUGUGCUGAGACCUUUUAAAGAAUUUUUCAAGUCCUCUGAUCUCUCUUUUUUUUUACCACUUUAUGUAUGUGCAUCAAGUAUUAAGUUUACAUUUUCAGC